GAUGAAGAACGCAGCGAAAUGCGAUAAGUAGUGUGAAUUGCAGAAUUCAGUGAAUCAUCGAAUCUUUGAACGCACAUUGCGCCCCUUGGUAUUCCAUGGGGCAUGCCUGUUCGAGCGUCAUUUGUACCUUCAAGCUCUGCUUGGUGUUGGGUGUUUGUCUCGCCUCUGCGUGUAGACUCGCCUCAAAACAAUUGGCAGCCGGCGUAUUGAUUUCGGAGCGCAGUACAUCUCGCGCUUUGCACUCAUAACGACGACGUCCAAAAGUACAUUUUUACACUCUUGACCUCGGAUCAGGUAGGGAUACCCGCUGAACUUAAGCAUAUCAAUACGGAGGA
rnacentral:misc_RNA from 1 species